CCUACGGGUGGCUGCAGUGAGGAAUAUUGGUCAAUGGGCGCAAGCCUGAACCAGCCAAGUCGCGUGAGGGAUGACGGUCCUAUGGAUUGUAAACCUCUUUUGUCAGGGAGCAAAGGGCGCCACGUGUGGCGCUUUGCGAGUACCUGAAGAAAAAGCAUCGGCUAACUCCGUGCCAGCAGCCGCGGUAAUACGGAGGAUGCGAGCGUUAUCCGGAUUUAUUGGGUUUAAAGGGUGCGCAGGCGGAAUGUCAAGUCAGCGGUAAAAAUUCGGGGCUCAACCCCGUCGUGCCGUUGAAACUGAUGUUCUUGAGUGGGCGAGAAGUAUGCGGAAUGCGUGGUGUAGCGGUGAAAUGCAUAGAUAUCACGCAGAACUCCGAUUGCGAAGGCAGCAUACCGGCGCCCAACUGACGCUGAAGCACGAAAGCGUGGGUAUCGAACAGGAUUAGAUACCCGUGUAGUC
rnacentral:rRNA from 1 species